rnacentral:rRNA from 1 species
UACAGAGGUGGCAAGCGUUGUUCGGAAUUACUGGGCGUAAAGGGCGCGUAGGCGGUCUUUUAAGUUCCGUGUGAAAUCCCUCGGCUCAACUGGGGAACUGCACGGGAAACUGGAAGGCUUGAGUUCGGGAGAGGGAAGCGGAAUUCCGGGUGUAGCGGUGAAAUGCGUAGAUAUCCGGAGGAACACCGGUGGGGAAGGCGGCUUCCUGGACCGAAACUGACGCUGAGGCGCGAAAGCUAGGGGA